UGCAACGCGAGAACCUUACCUGGUCUUCACAUGACGGAAUCCUCCAGAGACGGAGGAGUGCCUUCGGGAACCGUAACACAGGUGGUGCAUGGCUGUUCUCAGCUCGUGUCGUGAGAUGUGGGUUAAGUCCCGCAACGAGCGCAACCCUUGUCAUUAGUCCCCCUCAUUAAGUGGGGCAUUCUAAGGAGACGCCCGGGGACAAGCGGGAGGAAGGGGGGGAGGACUCCAAUUCUUCAGGCCCUUUAGACCCAGGGUACCACACGUCAUCCAAGGGUGGGUACAGAGGGUAGCCAAGCCGCGAGGUGGAGCCAAUCUCAGAAAACCGAUCUCAGUUCGGAUUGCAGUCUGCAACUCGCAUACGUGAAGUCGGAAUCGCUAGUAAUCGCAGGGC
rnacentral:rRNA from 1 species